CUCUAGUAUUCUUCUGAUUUUCGUAUAGUCAUAUUUCGCCUCGCUGAUCUGCUAAUUCAAUCUUCAACCUUUGUUCAAUCAAAUCCGAAAUGGAGGGAGAAAAAGAUGAGAGAGAAAGAUUUAAGCAAGUAUAUCAACAACUGAAGACGGAAUUGCUAAAAGAUCCUGCUUUUGAGUAUGACCAUGUCUCCCGUCAAUGGCUUCAUCAGAUGCUGGAUUAUAACGUUCCUGGAGGAAAAUUGAAUCGGGGGUUGUCUCUAAUUAAAAGCUAUGAAUUAUUAAAUGACGGGAAACAAAUCCCAGAAGAUGGCCUUUUCCGUGCUUCUGUUCUUGGCUGGUGCAUUCAAUGGGUAUGCCAUUUUUUUUUUAUUCACUCAAUCAACGGGUCCGUUUGGUAUUACUAUAGUUUUCUGUUUUCGGAAGUCAUACGAUAUAAUAUACGGAGUACUUUGUAAAAAAUUAAAAAUUAGUCAAACCUAACGAAAUUAACAUUUGACAAUUGUUCAGAAAACUAAAAAAAAAAUAAAACGACAACGAACAAGACACUCCCAUUUCUGGUUUUAUGAUUUCAGAGAACCUCUGCUACAAAUGAUCAUUACUGGAAACGUAAAAACGACAACGAGUGGUCAAGUAUCUAAAAAUCAUUUUCCUGCUUUGUUUUAUUAAAACACUUAACAUCCUUCACUAUUAUAUAAUAUCAUAUUAGCAAGCUAAAAUAAAAAAAUUAAACUUAUAGCCUAUCAAUAAUUUACAAUUACCAAUACUAAACAAGUCAUUUUGAUAAAUCAUACUUCUUAUAUCAAAGUGAGAAUCAUAGUCAGGAGAUCAUCCUCUUGUUAUGAUUUUAUGUAUAGUAUUCAACUAUAAUUAGUCAAAUAAAGUAUACAUACUUUUUGUAAGAACCAGUAAACAUAGUUAUACAGCUAAUACAAUUUUACAAGGAUCAAAAGACAAACCAAGUUAAAAAUAAUUAAUAUUACCUUAAUCCAUUUAUAACAAACAGCUUGUGGGCAUGUAACAAACUUUUCUUCAUCAUUCCACCCAAAACCACUUGCACUUGGGCUAAGCAUCUCCGUGAUAGCAUCAAAUUGUUUCUUUAGAUGCUUCACUCUUGAUUCAAUAUGAGGCUUGGCUUUUUUCCACAUCCAGGCAAUUUUUGUAGCAUUAUAGCUUCUAACUUAGCAUAAGCGCCACUCUUAAAAUUGACCAUUAUCCGCUUUCCAACCACCAAUAUCCCAAAGUUGGCCUCAAUAAGUGCACGAUCCUAUUGACCAUCUUGACAGUAAUCUAGUAGUAUUGCUACUACUACCACCUUGCGUAGAAUUUCCUUUUUGAGUAGAAGGUUGACUAAUCUGUAAAAUGCAACAAAUAGAGUACAUAAUACUACUGUCUAUGGAAAUAUUGUAUACUUCAAUUUAAUAACAUCACAAGUGUGUCCAAAACAAAGCAUUACAUAAGUCAAAACAUUGUCAUUACAUAAGCCAAAACAUUGUCAUUACAUAAGCCAAAACAAACCAUUCAAUACUUAAUAUCAUGCAUUACAAGUAAAAAUGCUCAGGAGAAAAGAAUUUUUUAACUAGAAUUAGUCAAGUGUUUCUGCUUUGAAUCCAUGCAUUAUACAUGUCAUUUGCUAGUUCCUGUCUAAAAGCAUUCCACAUUCCACUUGUUUCCAUAAUUUCAAUAUUAUCACCAUCAUCUUCUAUGUUAUCUUCAAGUAGAGACUCCAUAGGAUCAAUAGACAUAUAAGUGCGAAUGAAGUUAUGCACAAGAGCACAAGCCAAGAUAAUUCGACUGACGGUCUUUCGAGGAUACCAAGUUUUUUGUCUUAGGAUACCCCAUCUCAUGUUUAGUAAUCCAAAGCAUCUCUCUAUGACGUUCCUUGCCUGAGAAUGCUUCAUGUUGAAAUAUUCACCUGCUGACACAGGAAGAGCACCACUUUUCCAAAUGCUCAAGUGGUACCUUUGGCCUCUAAAUGGUGUUAAAAAACCCUCACAAUUCAUGCACUCAGCAUCACAUAAAUAAUAAUUAACCUAAUACCAAACAAUAAAAGCUAUAAUCAUUUCUAUUUCAUAGAGUUGUUAUAUGAUGUAUAGAAAAAAUAACUAACUCUAUAACCUUGAGGACUUUUAAUGGACUUUGUCUAGACAAGGCAUCAUGUAGUACUCUAUUAUCAUGUGCCGAACCCUCCCAACUAGGUAAUAAAUAUAUAAAUUGCAUAUCCCGCGUACAAGCAGCGAAGACAUUGGUAGUAAGAUCUCCUUUUCUGUUUCUGAACCUAACUUUGUCCUUAUCACCUACACGAACCUUAAAGUGUGUGCCAUCCAAAGCACCUAAGCAAUUCUACAAAGAAAAAAAAAUCCCAUUUAUCACUAAACCAAAUCUUCAAACAUAUAUUAAUAUUUAAUUUGCAUAGCAAAGAUCACUUACUUUAAACCACUUCCACCUAUCAUCUUGACAAUUUUUAGUCACUGCUGUAGGUUUUUUUGAACAAGAUAUGAUGACAUCUAAGGAGAGCUUGUAAUACUAAAUUGAAAUGCCUUGAAACAGUCUCACCACUUAUUCUAAAGUGUUACCGAAUUCUUCGAUUUUUGUAUCAUGAGAAAGUGUAAAGAGAAAUAAAGCCACCAUUUCAUCCAAACUAGUGUUCCUAUUUCCUUGCAACUUGCCAACAUCCCUAAGCAUCUCACAUAACUUAUAAAAACAAGCCCUAUCCAUUCUAAGGUUAUCCAAACAUGCUAUGUCACUCCCUUGGAUCAUAGGUCUAACAUUUAAAAUUCUAGCGGUUAUCCGGUUUUCAAGUGUAUCAUCAAACACAAAAGAUAUUGGCUUAGGAACUUUAAUAUUUGUAAUGGAAAGAAGAUACAUGAGUUGAAGUAAUGUAGCCAUAAUCAUGACCAUAAUCUGCCUAUAUAUCACAAUACAAGUCAUUGCAAUCUUCUUUUGUUUACUUAAAGGGAUGCGAGCCAUCACUGUAUUGCAAAAAAAAAAAAAAAAUUACAAACUCAAAGAUUAUGAUCAAAGAUGCAAAUAUCUAGUAAAUCAAUAGAUACUACACUAGCUAUAUAAAACAAUAUGAAUUUAACAGAGGCUACUAUCAUUCCAUAGGCCACACAAUUAAAAAUAAACAAGCACUUACAAAUUAUAUAAUUAAGCACCAUUUGUUUCUACUAAGAAAUAGAUACAAACAUGACCAUGAUUCUAAUUAAAUGCAUCACCAUAAACCUUGCAUAUAAGGUGUUUAAUAACAUUAGAAAGAAAAGCUGACUAGUCUAGCAAGCUCCAUAAUACCUCAACAAUAAUAAUCAAACCAAAUAGGUAUUGAUUAGGGGAUUUUUAUCCACCAAGCGCC